ACAGAGGCAGGCUGCUCAGGGAAAGCCAUCCGUCCACUCGAAGCUGGAGGCAGAGGCCAAACCAACCCCUGGAGACCACGCAGCCUCUGAAUCAACAGGCUUCUCAUGUCUAGGACCUGGAGGUGUCCACAAGACCGCACAUGCUCACGCACGCAACACGCCUGGUGAUUCCAAUACCGGAAGUGGACAGAGCCCCGCUGGCCGCAGAUGGGAGGCACGCGGUUCUGCACCAAGGCACCAUCCGACACAGCCAGACUGGACCCACCCAGACGCCCUCCGACAGGCUAUGGCACGAAACCCAGCAAGCAGUUUCUAGAGCUUCUAGCGCUGCUGCACAGCAGCCUCACCACCUGUCCCCACCCCGCC
rnacentral:lncRNA from 1 species